rnacentral:rRNA from 1 species
UUGAAAGGGAAACGAUUGAAGUCAGUCGUGCUGGCGCGAAAUCAACCUUCUCGUCUCGAGAUCACAUGGCGUGGCGAGCCUCAAAACCGUCACGAAGCGUGAACUCUUGGUGAAAUGGAGCACUUUCGUGUCCGCUGGUUAACAUCAAUUUCGAACGUCAUAAAAAGGCUGGAGGGAUGUGGCUCCUUCGGGAGUGUUAUAACCUUUAGCGGAAUGUGGUGGUCGGGAUUGAGGAUUGCAACGAAUACCUUUAGGGCUGUUCCACCUGGCUUCUCAUUGGUAUCCUGGUGACGACAGCUUGCUGACGUUGUUAGGAUUCGCCUUUGAACAGGCUAGAGUGUGAGCAAAUCGUUAAGGAUGUUGACGUA